rnacentral:snRNA from 1 species
AUCGCUUCUCGGCUCUUUUGAGCUAAGAUCAAGUGUAGUAUCUGUUCUUCUCACGUUUAAUACCUGGGACGGAAACGAUUCGUUUCCUCUAUGUAUUAAUCGGAUUUUUGAACUUGGAGUAUGGUGCUGGAGCUUGCUCCACCCUGCUCACGGGUUGUCCUGGUAUUGCAGUACCUCCAGGUUCGGCUCACGUUUC